CCUACGGGAGGCAGCAGUGAGGAAUAUUGGUCAAUGGACGAGAGUCUGAACCAGCCAAGUAGCGUGAAGGAUGACUGCCCUAUGGGUUGUAAACUUCUUUUAUAUGGGAAUAAAAUGUUCCACGUGUGGGAUUUUGUAUGUACCAUAUGAAUAAGGAUCGGCUAACUCCGGGCCAGCAGCCGCGGUAAUACGGAGGAUCCGAGCGUUAUCCUGAUUUAUUGGGUUUAAAGGGAGCGUAGGUGGAUUGUUAAGUCAGUUGUGAAAGUUUGCGGCUCAACCGUAAAAUUGCAGUUGAAACUGGCAGUCUUGAGUACAGUAGAGGUGGGCGGAAUUCGUGGUGUAGCGGUGAAAUGCUUAGAUAUCACGAAGAACUCCGAUUGCGAAGGCAGUUCACUGGACUGCAACUGACACUGAGGCUCGAAAGUGUGGGUAUCAAACAGGAUUAGAUACCCCAGUAGUC
rnacentral:rRNA from 1 species